UACAGAGGGUCCAAGCCUUAUUCGGAAUUACUGGGCGUAACGUGAGCGUAGGUGGUUUGUUAAGUUGGAUGUGAAAGCCCCGGGAUCAACCUGGGAACUGCAUCCAAAACUGGCAAGCUAGAGUACGGUAGAGGGUGGUGGAAUUUCCUGUGUAGCGGUGAAAUGCGUAGAUAUAGGAAGGAACACCAGUGGCGAAGGCGACCACCUGGACUGAUACUGACACUGAGGUGCGAAAGCGUGGUGAGCAAACAGG
rnacentral:misc_RNA from 1 species